CUAAGAAUAUUCUUGCUGUUCUAAUUCUGUAAUAAAUAGGGGAGGUUAAUCAUUUGCUAUAUUAAGAAAAUGCAUGUGUCCCCAGACCAGACUGAGUUCUUUACCUAACGAGGCCUGGUUUUAUAAAUUCUGGUGAUAAAA